ensembl:lncRNA
AAAUAAUUGUUUUUUUUUUUUUUAACAGAUCUACAAAUGGAUUUUCCUAGUCUGAAACACCAGGAACAGACUACACUGGUUUUCCCCAGAAAGCUUUUCAAAAUUUCUUUGGAUAAUAAGAUCUACGUGGAUUGCUAAUGAUUGGGAUUUCAAGAACACGCCUCUACACAAGGACUUUUUCUUUUUUUCUUUUUUUUUUUUUUUAAUAGAUCAUUACUUGAAAAUUCCUUCUAUAUGUGUUAUUGCUAAAGUUUACCUGGAUGUUGCUUUUCUUUACUCAUAUGAGUAAAGAUUAAUUUCCUUCUUAUUGUAAGCUUGUAAUGCUGAGACCAAUUUUGUAUUAGAAAAUGAACUAAUCCGACUCUUUUUUUUAAUAAUAUUUUUGAUAUUAUUUAAUAAUAUUUUGAUAAUAUUUUGAUAUUUUGAUAUUUUUUUCAAGGAUCAUCCUUGGAAUCUCUGUUAAUUCAGUCUCUUACCUUUCUCUGGCAAUGACUGUAAUACUGUGUUCAACAGAUCUGUCCAUGUUAGUUGAUGAACAGGAUUUUAGUAUUUCUCAGCAAAUGGGAGAGAAACUGUGGGCCAUGUACACUUCAAAAGUCAUUUUUCUGAUAAAUGUCUACAGUAGACAUACUUUUUAUUUGUUUGUUACUAUUUAUUUGUUAGUUUUUAUUUUGACCUUUUGGCUGCAGAGAGGGUAAUACCAUCUUGAAAUUUAGCAACAUCCAGUCAUUUAAUAUGUGUAUAAAUUUUUGGCUUAUUUUCUAAUCUAAGGAUUAUUUUCUAUGUUUUAGUUUCACUUAAGAUUUUGGGUAAUAAUUUGAGUAAAUAUUUAAGAAUAUUUAAAAAGAAGAUCUUUUUAUAUCAUUCAUAAAAAAGGAAAGAAGAGAGUAAAGUAUUAUUUACAAUUCCUCCUGCUAUGGAGAUUAUGGACAAGCUAUGGAGAUUAUUUGAAAUAAAUAAAUAUAUAUAUAUAUAUAUAUUUAUGGGCCUCAAAACUUGAGCUGUGCAGAUGACCAUUUCACAAUGAGAUAAAUUUCAUUAAGAUUUAUGACUGCUGCUUAGGCUUCCUGCUCUUCUAAAUGAAAGGGAAAAAAAAAAAAAAAGAACCACUAACUUCUCCAAAAUGUUUUCCUAAUGAUCUGCAGCUACAUUGAAGAUUUUUCCGCUCUUAGGCAUACUAAGUCUUUUCUCCAUACAAUAAUUUGUUCUCUGGGGAAUGAAAAAGUUUCUUGGAUUUUAAAGGUCGUAAUUUAUUCUUUGUCUCGCACAGAAUUUUGUGCAAUGAAGAUGUUUACAUGAAAAUGUUUUCUCUUUGUAGGGAAAACAAAGACUUCACAAAUAUGUAUGUUCAUCUAUGCAUGUAAAAAUCCCUAUCCUUUUGUCAAAAUCACAUCCAUGCUGCUAAUGCAUGUACAUAAGUGAGAUGUAUAGAGUUCAAGAAAUCACAUUUUACAGAGCUUCUCAACUCUGUAGUCUGGUGAAUAAAAGCUGAGAGGAUUGUCCAUUCCCUCAAAGUACACUGCCUUUAAUCUGAAGAUAUAUUCUUGAUCACAUUUGCAAACUGUCCUUUCUCUGCUUAAACAAGGACAGUUCUGACUCGAUUUUCAUUUCAUUGAGAUAAAGGGCUGUAUUUUCUCUUCUGAGUGCUAGAGGGCACUAUGACUACACCAGUGAAACUGACAAUAACUAGAAGUAAUUUGCUCCCAUUUCAGUACUUCAGUAAUAUUUUUCUUGUUUCAGUUCUCAUGCUAAUAUUUGCAUUUCUUGCAGAAACCUGUAUACAUCCUUACCAUGUCAGCAGAAAUUCUGUUUGUGUGAACUGAAACAAGGUAUCUCUCUUUGGAUUUUGGUACCAAUAGUAAAACAUGACUCCAGGUGUUUAAAUCUUCAUAAAACAAAGACAUGUUUCUGUGUUACAAGAGGGAUAUAUCCAUCUGCUUUUCUGCUCUGGGAGUUGAAUUAGCUUUUCAUAGAUUGCAGGUGAAGUUAUAGGAAACUUUAUGUAGUUCCAUCUUGUCUGUCAAAACAUUACAUAAAAAUCUUUUGUGUUUAUACUCUGAAGUAAGGCAUAUAAAGUAAACAUUUAAUUGUUGGAAAGGAUUGAGGUGGGGCAGAUGGGGUUAUUUUUUGUAUAAACUUCAAAAGAAAUUAUCAGUUUAACACAAUGUGAAGUAAUUUCACCAACGUAGCCAGUUACCUUUGUUUUACGGUAGCCUCAUGCUAAAUACAUGCAAGAAUUACUGUUGUAACUCCACCAGCUGGUGCAGUAUAGCUGCACAAAGAGAUUUUUUAACUACAGUUUGGAAUACUUGUUCAUUCUGAUGGUUAUAUGUCUUGUGCUGUCAUGCAUGUGUAAAUUGGGAAGCUACUUGUAGCCUAUGCAUCUCUACACCUGGAAUUCUUAAUGUGCAACAUUCAUGUAUAUAGAUCGUGUUUAGACCAACAACAUGUAUGGGUGUACAUUUGAAUUUCUGUGUGGCGUUUUCCUAUCCCUUGCAGUUGUAUGUGCAGUAUCAGAAAGUGUUGGGAUAUCUCUAAUUUUGUUGUGCCCUUCCUAACUCACAAAUUCAGCUAAGUGGACAUUACUAUAAGUUUUCUUUUUUUUCGUAUGAGAUGGCAGCCAUAUUGUCAGCUGUGGAGUAUACAUCAGAAAGUCCUGCAAAACUUCUAAGAAGUCAGCGUCUUUAAGAUGGAAGCCUUGCUUACCAGAAGUGAUUAUCGAGGAAAAAAUGUGGUUGAAAGAAUACGCUUUAAUUCAUCACAGUUUAUCUAUUUGCAUUCAAAUUUAAUAGAUGCUUAUAAUUUACACACUGCUGUUCUCAGAGAGAUAUUAGAUAAUGUUUAAAAAAUCAUACAUCUCCCGUGAAGUAUUUCUACCACUUUCGCUAACAGGAAGGAGAGGCUUAGUAUGUUCAUAUAUAUUUUUAUAGAAUUUUUAGUGAUGCUUUUCCAUCUUACCCCAGAAAACAGGGGAAAAGGGUAGGAUGCUAUUUGUUUUGCAAAGUUCUACACCCUUAAUCUUUCUCAUUGCUGAAGUUUUCAAAACUUCCUCAUAUGUACUACCAUCAUUCACAUAUAAAGCAAAGUUUGUAUUAACAAAUUAACAUCUAAUCUAAAUCUCCCCUACCUUAUGUGAUAGGACAAGAGAGAAGAGUUUUAAACUGAAGUUAUUACUAUCUCUCAAAUGAUUACAGUGAUGAGAAAUGUUGUCUAUGCUUCAGAACUUUGCUUCCAUACUCUAUUCCACUGUUUGAAUGGGAUGGAUAUAAAGAUAAUAACUACUUGUGUACUGGAACACCUUUAAAAUCAGUUAAUCCUUUUACAGAUAAAGUAGAAAACUACUUUUACUGCAAUACCCAGGAGUAUUUUAUUCAGUAUCUUUCAGAAGAAAAAAGUCUAUUUACAUUUGUAAUUUCAAGUCAAUAAUUGGUGAAUAUGUGUUUACAGUAUUCAAACAUCUGACCCAUGGCAGUCCUACAGGCUACUUUGUGGUCAGUGUUCCAAAGUACUGGAAUCUGAAGGAGGCACGUUCUCUGGUUUUAGAGCUCGGAUUUUUUCAUUCCUAUAGCCAGCAUCCUGCUUCUACGUUGUGUACUAGCUGUUUGACACAUGAUCUGCUAGUUAGUAGAUUUAAUUCCUGGCCUGAAUUAUGAAAUUAUUUUUCUGUGAGAAAUUAUGUAAGGAUGUAAGUAUAACUGUAAGUAUAACAGUGAAACUGAAUUUUUUGUUUGUGGUGGUCCUAUACAGUGAAAAAUCACAUAACAUAACUCACCAUUACAUUUUGUUAACAUGUAAUAGGUCAAUGUUGUUCUAUAUUUCUUUGCUAAAAUUAUGUUUUGGUAACAUUAAUAUUAAAAUCACAAAGAAAUAUUAGAUUGUUUCUGGGUUGAGCCCUCUCUAAGCACCUUUCAAAUGGUUUUCAAGUAAGUGCUAUUUCUUUUCUUAUCCUCAUUUACUUUAAUGCUACUUUAAUGUAGGGAAAAUACUGGUAUGUUUCUUCUUGUAUUGGCCUUUCAUUUCAGGUUUACCAAUUCCUUCGUGUCUACUAAACACUGAAUAGUUUGAAGAUAGCUUAUCAGGAAAAUACCAAAGAAAUAACUUUGUAUUAGUGGAAUAAAUUCUAGAAACCAGAAUCUAAAAUAAUAAAGGAUUAAGCAGUAGCAUUUGCUACAUGGCCAUUUUUAAGAUGAUAGUAUAUCAUGCUACAGUACUAUCCGUAGAUAAGCUUUUGUUAAACUUUUAAAAUAAUUUGAGUAGAUAAUUACUAGUGUUUUAGUAGUCUAAGGCAGGAUUGAUGGUAUCUUGAUUGGCUAUAGCAGUUACUAAAGUUCACAUUUUAUGACCUCCUUAAAAAUACUAAUUUAGAAGCUUAUGAAUUACUCUCUGGAGUCACCCUGAAUUAACAAAUACUGAGCUAUCUUUUACCUUUUAAAUCUCUUUGUUAAAUAAUUUCUACCCACUACUGAUUUUUAUAGUGUUUUUAAUACUGAUGUCGAACAAAAAGGGUGUGGCUGGUCACUCCUGCCUAUCCUUUGUGCCUGAUGGGUAUUUGUGUGAUAGUAUAGCGAUUGAGGAGCUGAGCUAUGCUUUCAAAAAUGAGGCAGUCAAACUGCAUUAUUUUCCUAAUUUACUUCACCAUGAGACUGAAAAGAAAUUUAUGUUGGGGAAUGCUGGAGCAGGAGUGAGCAGCUGGGAUCAGUAGAGCUCUUCUUCCUACAUUUUUCGUUCAACUUAAGUUACUUCUAUU